GGGAACGCCGCACCUGCUCUCCUCCCCAUUCGCUGCUCGUCUUUCCUCCCUCUCUCUCUCUCUUCCAUUUAGCAAAACCCUAAUCCCUUUCACCGUUCCAGACCUUGUUCGCCCAUUUUGGGCAAAGCUUUCAAUGCUUAUGUGUUCUCCCAGCUAAUAGCAACGUUCGUUGCUCCGCACAACCCUCUCUCUCUCAUCUUUUUCCUUUUUUGAACAAGGGUUCAUUUGCCCUCAACAAUGGCAGAUCUCUGUUGCCCCCAUUUUCGUGCAAAUGCUCCUUUCUCAUCUUCAACAAGCUAGUCAACAUAAAUGGCCAAAAACCCUUCUGAAAUUUCUGAAAAUAAAGCAACUUCAAAGAUUCGAUUUUGAUUUUUCAAAUAGCUAAUUCAACUUUGAAAUCCCACCCAAAUCGAAACCCUAGGUGUUGAUUUACACCUAUAAAUAUCACUUUAAGUCCUCAGCCAAAGGGAAUAAAAAAUCUCAGCUCUCAAUUUUUUUAGUGUUUUACUCGAUUCGCCCAAAAGAAAUACGAAACUUUAGUUCAUUAAAGCCCUCAACACUUUCAGUCGAAUUUAUGGGGCUCAAAGUUCGGAUCUGUCAAUACGAUAGAGUAGAUUCGAGGCAUCGACUCCCUAUUCACUGCACUCGGAAAAGUUGAAGAGUUCCCCGGGGACUCGAUGGCAUCCUAGGACCCGACGAGGCCACUACGUCGGGCCAAUUAUCUGCAUAUCCUCAUUUCUUUCUCACCUUCGUCCUGUUCAAACAGUGAGAUACCGAAGAGAAUUGUUGCUCGUGUUGAACCCGAACAUACCCCAUUUGAUUGUCGAAUUUAUUUUUUUGUUUGUUUGCUUACUUAUGUCGAUGAUCGAUCGUUAUUAUAUGUUUGCUGUUAGAAGGGUGCUAUACCCCAUUUAAACGGGUUAAAAUAGAGUACAACAUAUUGGUGAUUCCUA